CAAAUAGCCCCAGUUUUCAAUACAAUAUAUAUAUAUGUAUACAUAUAUAUAUAUAUAUAUAUAUAUAUAUAUACAAUAUAUAUAUAUUGUAUUGAAAACUGGGGCUAUUUG
rnacentral:miRNA from 1 species